rnacentral:lncRNA from 1 species
AUGGGAGGGACUGGGAAUGGGACUGGGAGGGACUGGGAUGGACUGGGAGGGAACUGGGAGGGAACUGGGAGGGAACUGGGGGGGACUGGGAGGGAACUGGGAGGGAACUGGGAUGGACUGGGAUGGACUGGGACAAACUGGGAUAAACUGGGAUGGACUGGGAGGGACUGGGAGGGACUGGGAGAGACUGGGAAGGACUGGGGCUGGAACUGGGAUAAACUGGGAGGGACUGGGAGGAACUGGUCAGAACUGGGGCCGAACAGUGGGAAACCGGAGCCAGGACUGGGCAGAACUGGGAUUAACUGGGAGAAGGGGGGGAGGGGAACUGGAACCAGUUCCAGGACAGGACGGGGGUGGGGGGGUGGGGACUCCACAAUGGGAACUGGGACAACUGGGAGAACCCAACUGGUGGCACUGGGACCACCCCGGACGGGGGAGGGGACAACACACCCGAGCAUGGGGGAGGGGGGGUUUUUUUGGGGUGGGAUCGGGGGAUUUUGGGGUCACGGCUACCCCCGGGGGGGGCUCCCCAAAACCCUCUCCAGAUAUUUCUCCACCUGGCGGUCCCUCAGCGGGGGCGGGGGGCGCCGGGGUGGGACCGGCAGGAAAGUCCUCGCCGGGAUCGGCUCCGGUGGGGGUCGGAGCCGCGAUUUGGGGGGUCGGCCGAGUUUCGGUGGUGGCUCCACGGCCACCACGCCCAUACCGGCCAUGGCCAAGCCCAGCCCGGCCUCCUCCUUGCGCUUCUGCUCCACGUCGUGGAUGAUGUCCACCACGUCAUCGGCCGGCAGGUGCAGCCGGCUGGACAGCUCGAUCAGCUGGUCGAUGGUGCCGGGGUCCAGCUCGUCCACCUCGGCCGGAUCCUGCGGCGACACCUCCUCCGAAUCGCCGGUGGUCGCCUCUUCUUCUUCAUCUUCUUCCUCCUCCGCCGCCGCGAUCCGGUUACCCCGCGCCGGCAUCCGGUGGCCGCGCGCCGGGAGGAUCUCGUUGUCCUCCAAGCCGCCGUUGCCGUUGAGGUCGUCGGCGGCGUUGUCGAAGCCGCCCCUGAUCUUGAAGUUGUCACCAUCGUUGGCCUUCAAGUCUUCGUUGGUGCCGGGUUUGACCUUGAAGCGGCGGUUGACCUUGAAGACCUCGUUGGCGUCGUUGGCGUCGUAG